CCCAACAUAUCCCUCAGUCUCCUCUUCUCUCCUGAACUCUCGCUGCACCCGAAAACAAUAAAAUAAGUGCGAGGAAGCUGGCUUUCAUUUAUUCUUCAGGCAGAUGGGCGACUUGAAUCAUCGAUCCACAAGAACAAUUGAACAGGAAUCUCACCUUGGGAGAUGGCUGCUUUAUAAUUCUACAUUUCGCUGCCUAGGUAUCCGUGUUGUUAGAGGAAAGUACAAAAUUGCGGUUGAGUUUGACUAGCUUUGGCCCCAGUUAACAAACAAUCACUGCGAGAGAAAUGAAUGAAAGUUUCAGAGACUGAGCACUGUUGUGAGGACUGUACAGCUCAGACCAUACGCAAAUGGUAGUUUCAACAGCUAAUAUGAAACUGAAUCACGUAUCCAUUAUUCUUCAAUUCUUCAUAUUACUCCGAUACAGAAAUUCGCUUGGAAUUGUCAUUUCCCCAAAGCAAGAACAAAUUAUUUGUGAAUUAAAAAAAGAUACAUACCUGCA